CUCUAUGCUCGCAGAUCAACUCUUUUGUGCAAAUCGGUGGAGAAGAAGACAGGAAAUAAUGGUUUCUCAAAAGUUUUACCUGCACCUGCUCACCUAUGUCACCUUACACUUUGACAUUACUGGCUCUCUCGGUCCUAGGAGGGGUUGAAUAUGCCAAACUAAGCUCUCUGAGAAAAUACAUUUGUGAUUGAAGUGACUUCUUGCCUGAUGAAAAUUCAAGUCUCAUGGAUGGUGAUGUAAACCCAGCUGCUGCUGUGGUGGUAACUCCAUCCAAGGCCAAGCUGUUUCUGGCAUCCCUAAAAAGGCCCAAAAUAAAUCUAUGGGACCGCAGCCGCCCUGAUGUUCAACAGAGAAUCCAACAAUUUAUGUACAUGGGAUUUGAUGAAGCGUGCUUAUGUGUUAUGCCUUUAAAAAUCCUAUACAAACCAUUUUGAUGUGAUCUACUAAGUGUGAAUGGUUAAUGAGGUUAUGUACUAAUAUGUUGAAAUCAAAUGUCCUUGACUAACAAGAGACAAGAGGUUAUUCAGGAAAUGCCACAAUUAAAAGUUCAGAAGUAUUAUACCUCUAUCUUUUUUUUCUUCUUUAUCACCUAUAUGUUUUUAAGUUGUUGAUGUUUUUAAAUGCAGUCCUCUAUGAAAACUGCUGUCAGUUGUGAUUGUUGCUCUUUUCCCCAUCCCUGUAUCCUUAGAGAGAAGGUUUGAUUUAGAGUGCAUUCUAAGCAGUAUACAUCAAAGAAAACAGGGAUAUCAUCAGCUCCUCCUUUCCAAUAAACAUUCUUUCAGGUU